rnacentral:lncRNA from 1 species
AUGGUUGGUAAGAAGAACUUAAGAAAUUGAUGAAUUUAAGAUGAUAAGCAUAAUUUGAAAUUAUGAUGAAUUGAAUUUUAUAUAUGAUUGAUAGUAUGAUUAUGAUUUCAUGAAAUUACAUAUUGAUUUUGUUAUUAUCAGUAAAUCGAUAUGUAUAGUAUUAUUUGUCAGGUUUAUUCAGUUAAAGGUAUACACUGCUUACUGGGCUGUUUAGCUCAUGAUGAGUUUUUAUGUUUUUCUUACAGAUCCAAAAAAUUAGCGUGAUGCGG